rnacentral:rRNA from 1 species
UACAGAGGGGGCAAGCGUUGUUCGGAAUUACUGGGCGUAAAGGGCGCGUAGGUGGCCUUCUAAGUUGAACGUGAAAUCCCUGGGCUCAACCCAGGAACUGCGUCCAAGACUGGGAGGCUUGAAUCCGGGAGAGGGAUGCGGAAUUCCAGGUGUAGCGGUGAAAUGCGUAGAUAUCUGGAGGAACACCGGUGGCGAAGGCGGCAUCCUGGACCGGUAUUGACACUGAGGCGCGAAGGCCAGGGGAGCAAACAGG